rnacentral:rRNA from 1 species
AGGGCACCACCAGGAGUGGAGCCUGCGGCUUAAUUUGACUCAACACGGGAAAACUCACCCGGCCCGGACACCGUAAGGAUUGACAGAUUGAGAGCUCUUUCUUGAUUCGGUGGUUGGUGGUGCAUGGCCGUUCUUAGUUGGUGGAGCGAUUUGUCUGGUUUAUUCCGAUAACGAGCGAGACUCUAGCCUACUAAAUAGUGACCGGAUAGCUUGGUCCGGGUCACUUCUUAGAGGGACAAGCGGUGUUCAGCCGCAAUAAGUUGGGCAAUAACAGGUCUGUGAUGCCCUUAGAUGUCCGGGGCUGCACGCGCGCUACACUGGAGGAAUCAGCGUGCUUGACCCAUUGCCGAAAGGCAUUGGUAAACCCUUGAAAAUCCUCCGUGAUCGGGAUCGGGAAUUGCAAUUAUUUCCCUUGAACGAGGAAUUCCCAGUAAGUGUGAGUCAUCAGCUCACGUUGAUUACGUCCCUGCCCUUUGUACACACCGCCCGUCGCUGCCCGGGACUGAGCCGUUUCGAGAA